GAUCAGAUCAAGCCUUUAAUCCUUCUCUUUACGAGACAGGAGUUGUGGUCUACCCUUCUUUGACCUGCACCGUCCUCCCGACUAGUUCUUAUUGAGAUAUAGUGUCACAGAGGGUUAUAACCCCGUCUGUUGGGAUCGUGUGUGCAUUCGGUCGGGUAAGUGUGAGUCGUGUUGCUUGGGACUGCAGCACUAAUUGGGAGGUAAUGUCCUUCUAAAUCUAAAUAUUACGAAGAGACCGAUAGCGAACAAGUACCGUGAGGGAAAGAUGAAAAGGAAUUUGAAAAGAAUGUGAAAAGUACGUGAAAUCGUUAGGUGAAAGCGAAUAGCAUACCCUUAGCGUGUGGCUCUCGUUUGUUACGAUCAGUUUUUCACUUUCCCAGUGUCUUCUGUUCACGCAAUCGUUUGCCAGAGGAUGAGAUCGUAGUUUUUCGGUGUCUCUCAGCGUGUCGACUUUCUUGGACUAUCGCCACGGUGAUACCCUUGAUUGUUUGCUCCUGUUUGUUCCGUUUCUGCAUCUUGACGCUAUAUUACCUGGUGUUGUUAUCCGACCCGUCUUGAAACACGGACCAAGGAGUCUAACGUAUGUGCGAGUAUUUGAGUUGUAAACUCUUCUGCGUAGAGAAAUCGACAAUUGAUAACACGUUUAGUGUUCCUCAUCGGCUGUUAGUUGAUUCUUCGGAUGAUCGCUACUCGCUUGAGCAUGUAUGUUGG
rnacentral:rRNA from 1 species